UGUACAGGAUAGGUAGGAGCCUUAGAAGCGUGAGCGCUAGCUUACGUGGAGGCAUUGGUGGGAUACUACCCUAAUUGUAUUGGAUUUCUAACCCGCAGCACUUAUCGUGCUGGGAGACAGUGUCAGGCGGGCAGUUUGACUGGGGCGGUCGCCUCCUAAAGAGUAACGGAGGCGCUCAAAGGUUCCCUCAGAAUGGUUGGAAAUCAUUCAUAGAGUGUAAAGGCAUAAGGGAGCUUGACUGCGAGACCUACAAGUCGAGCAGGGUCGAAAGACGGACUUAGUGAUCCGGUGGUUCCGCAUGGAAGGGCCAUCGCUCAACGGAUAAAAGCUACCCCGGGGAUAACAGGCUUAUCUCCCCCAAGAGUUCACAUCGACGGGGAGGUUUGGCACCUCGAUGUCGGCUCAUCGCAUCCUGGGGCUGUAGUCGGUCCCAAGGGUUGGGCUGUUCGCCCAUUAAAGCGGUACGCGAGCUGGGUUCAGAACGUCGUGAGACAGUUCGGUCCCUAUCCGUCGUGGGCGUAGGAAAUUUGAGAGGAGCUGUCCUUAGUACGAGAGGACCGGGAUGGACAUACCUCUGGUGUACCAGUUGUCGUGCCAACGGCAUAGCUGGGUAGCUAUGUAUGGACGGGAUAAGUGCUGAAAGCAUCUAAGCAUGAAGCCCCCCUCGAGAUGAGAUUUCCCAACUUCGGUUAUAAGAUCCCUCAAAGAUGAUGAGGUGAAUAGGUUCGAGGUGGAAGCGUAGCGAUACGUGGAGCUGACGAAUACUA
rnacentral:rRNA from 1 species